rnacentral:lncRNA from 1 species
CAUAGCCAGAGCUCUCCCAGUAGCCGGGGGCGCCCUCCUUUCCAAGCCCCCAAAACUCCCUGUCGCGCGGGGUGCCAGCCUUGAAGCUGGGCCAGGGCGCGGGAGUUGUGGCUGCGGGUCCGGGCCGCGCCGAGUGAGCCGCGGGAGCACACAGUGGCGGGACCAGCGUUUACCUUGACGCGCACUCUCAUCGCCCCGAGACUCCCGCGCAAGGACGCAGACCGCGACUUCGGCACUUCUGUCGCUUCCGAGAGCCGCGAUCCCAGGCUCGCCCGGGUCCCCGCCCGCGAUCCGUGCGUCUGGCAGCUCAGUGGUGCGCCUUCUCUCUUCCCAGCCCUGGCUCCAGCCACCUCCGGACUCCUCUCCCGCCGGCCAGGAGCGGACCCACCUCGCAAAUUCCCCACAGCCCCAAGCUGAACCCCUGCUCCGGGUUCGAUUUCCGCUCUGACACCACCUCCGCUCUGGCCCCACUCCAGCUGCCGGAACAGGGGCUGCGGGUCCUGCCCUUGCUAGGGUCCUCUACAUUUGCCCACACUCAACUGUGAUAAUCAUCUUCGGGUGGAGACUAAAGAACUCACUCGAAAGCCGGUAUUUCGUAAAUCCUAGCAAUUCUAGAUCCUACUUAGAUUAUUUGUGAGCCUGGCCCCACCCGCAGCCUUGGGCUCCGAUCUGGUGACUUGCCUAAGUCCCAGGUGCCCCGCCUGGCAGAAGCAGCUUGAGAGUACCUGUGAACGCUCUGUGACAGUCGACGCGUCCAUCCUUGAUUUGCAGGCCCCGCUACCAAAGCGUUUUCUGAGCUUGCGACUGUGGAGUCGGAAAAUCUGGACUCCGGGCUCCACCUCCACAAGCUGCCUUUUACAGCCAUAUGGAUUUGUGCGGUACCUUUUAGCCCCAGUUACCUCCUGUGUAGAAAGGAAGGUGACUCCAACCUCACUUUGAUCAAAGAAAGUAUAGUGAGGAUCAAAUGGGAUUGUUCACUGCCAUCACUGUCAAAUUUUAUG